GUGGCUUUAGCUAGCCAGGAAGUUCCUCCAGGGACACUGGCCUCCAGCACAUGGGGCAGCUCACAGCUGUGACCUGAGUGAGUUGCUCUUUGAAUCCCCACCUCACAGCCUCCUCUGAGCAGCAGGCUGGGGUUGGGGGAUCUGGGGGAGCCAGGGUCCUAAACCUUCCCUGCAGCCAGGCCAUUCCCAGGCCAGUUUACUUAACCUCUCUGAUCUAUCUCUCAGUAAAAUGGGAAUGACAAUACCUACCUUACGGGGCAGUUGUGAUGAUUACUAGGAUAACACAGAUAAGCUGCAGCACCUGGUCCAAAGUAUGGUGGUUAAAAAAAGUGGUUUGGGACCAUCCCUCCCUCUUUCCAUUCCUAUAGUCUUCCCUUCUCUUUAUCUGACUCCCCUUUCCUAGGAAGCCGCUUUCUUUUUCUCCAUAAUGUUUUACCAAGUAACUUUUUUUUUUUUUUUUUUUUUUUACAUUUUACUUAUUCAUUUUCUAACUUGUCUGAUCCCUAUGUCUGUUUUGAUCACUGGCAUCUCCAUGGGGCCUCCCUACCUUGUGUUGCAGGAAUGCAUGAAUGAAAGUUAAAUGACCUCUACGUUUCUUUCCAGGGACUUUCAAAUGGACAUCAAAUCCAGUUGUUCACCAAAGGCUGUGAUGGGGGGAUUUGGGGCUGAAGUAGAAGGACAGUAUUAAGGACAGAGCUAGACCCAUGGGUGAUUUCACAGACUGAAAGAAUGGGAGCGCUGUCAUUCUAGGGAAGGAGGAGACUCCUUUCAGAGUGACCUGGGUGGGAGGUGGCCGCUGACUCUUAGUAUAGUGAGGGGGUUAAGAGCCCAGACUCUGGAACCAGACCCUCUGGGUUCAAAUCCUAGCUUUACUCCUCACUAUAGGAGUAAAGCCCAAGGUCACAUUGGCUAACAAUAGUACUUAAUCCUCCUGGGAGUUGCUAGGAGGUAUAAAUGAGUUGACCAGUUGUAGAACAGUUCCUUGCUGGGUGAUAUUAGCCCUUAUUAUUGUUUGGUCAAUGCUACCACCUGGUGGACAGCUGGAGCAAGGUUUCCCUGGCCUUGGGCUGGGGCAGCUGGUGGGGGCACCUAAUCAGGGGAGGGAGAAGGCAUCCCAGCGAUCUGACAGAAGUGCGUGUGUGUUGUGUUAACAUUACACAUGCUGAGGUUUAUCGGGAUCCAGCAGGCUCAUCCCUGGCUCAAGGCACCAUGGAAACUGAGAAAGGGCCCAAGGGGGAGGGGGAAAGAAGCUGGGUUGGCCCAGUGCCUUCCUCCUCCUCUCCCUCCCUCCCUCCUUCCUUCCUCUAAGCCUGGCCUGAGCCAACAGGAACCAACUCCAGGGAAGGCGAAGAGAGAGAGAGAGAGAAGAAGAAGAAGAAGGUCACUGCUGACGUCAGGGACAUUCAGUCCUCAAGCGCUACUCGGACACUUGGCUGCACCUUCGCGCCCGGGGUGGCACAGGCAUAGGCAAGAGAGAGGACACCCAACUCAGCGCUGUGUGCGGACAUCUCCUGACUCACUCUCAAGGCACAGAAAUUUCAUCUCUCCCCAGGAUAGAUGUGGGUACAAGUGGGGAGGAGAGUUCUUUGGACUGGAGCAGACAUGCUCCCUUGAAUGGGGCCCGGAGCACCGCCUCUUCACCAUCACUGCCACUCCUGGAGAGUGUCACAUGUGACCCGAGGCCCUGAUCUCCUUCUUCCUGCUGGUGCCACCGUAGAGGGACGCCUGGAGGACUGGGCAUUACCGAAAUCAUCUGGGUUCAAGCCUGAUGAAGAGGCAGGCAGGGCACAGGACUUUCCUCCAAGUAGGCAGGCAACUGCUCUAAGACUCCCUGGGUUUUUGGGUCUCACUAAGCUGUCUUUCCAUGGCUUUGAGCAUGGCCUAAUAGCAUGAUUUGCUACAAUGCUCACUGUGGGCACUGGCAGGUGAUGGGGUUGGUGGUAUACUGUGACUUACAGCUCUGGCUCCUUACGUGAGACCUUUGGUGAAUGACUUAGCUCUGCAGUUCCAGGAAGGCCUUUGGGGCCCUUUCUUUAAGAGCUGGUAUGAGCUACCAGAGUUUCCUGCCUUCUUGAAUUGGUUAUUCUUACACUUGCAUUAUUCACUCUUUGGUUCUCUUGACACUUGACUCAGGAACCUGGAGAAAACAUAUCCUCUGCUUUUUUUGUUUGUUUGUUUUUAAGAUUUAUUUAUUUGACAGAGAGAGAGAGAGUACAAGCAGGGACAGCAGGAGAGGAGAAGCAGGCUCCCUGCUGAGCAGGGAGCUCAAUGUGGGCUCGAUCCCAGGACCCUGGGAUCAUGACCUGAGCCGAAGGUAGAUGCUUAAAUUACUGAGCCACCCAGGGGCCCCUAUCCUCUGCUUUAAGCAGAAUAAACUGCCACAUUUGCCUGAAUGACUAGUUGGAUUCCACUCCAUCUACCUUUACAGUAGUUGCAUUCCAGAUGAAUUUUUUUUUAAGUGUGCAGGCAGCAACUCCCCGUUUCUGCCUGGAAAGCUGUAAGACUUGACCUCCUGGAGAGGAGAGGCAUUUAUCAAAGCCCUAGAGCCUAGGGAAGUGUUCCAGCAGCUGAUAACCUUAUUUCCCUUACCAAUAUCCCUGCCUGUCCUCCUGGCCUUAGCCAGUCAAGGCUGACAUUCCCAGCCGUGCUGUGGGGUCUUGCCUGAGAGCUUCCCACCUCUGUAGAUUUCCACCCUGUGCCAGGAUGGGGGCCCCAGCUCCUGGAACCUCAGUCUCAUCCUGAACUUGAAUUCUUCACUUCCCAGGAUAAGGGUUUGGAUAUGGACUCUUCCUUCCUCCGCCCAUCUUCCUCUCAAACGGAGACAGUGGUUGCCAGCUAUGCACCAAACCCUUUUCCCUUUCUUCCCCAACAUGUAGUUAAACCAUAUUUUCCAACAAACCUCCCUUUGUUGAUUAGUGGGGCCUCAUGACUGAGUUCUAGUCAAUGGAAAUACUUUGAGGCUUGGUCCCAAACACCUCUCUUGUGAUUGUCUCUUCUCUCAUCUGGCAACUGGAUAUCAGCAUCCAGGAUGAUUUUGGAAGUCAUGUGUUAAAGAUGGCAGAGCUUUUGUCAGCCAGAUUCCUGAGUGACUCCUAGAUACCAACAACUGGACUUUAUGUCUCUUCUAUUUAAAAUAUGGGUUACACUGGGCGCCUGGGUGGCUCAGUUGGUUAGGCGACUGCCUUCGGCUCAGGUCAUGAUCCUGGAGUCCCUGGAUCGAGUCCCGCAUCGGGCUCCCUGCUCGGCGGGGAGCCUGCUUCUCUCUCUGGCCCUCCCCCCUCUCAUGCUCUCUCUCUCUAUCUCAUUCUCUCUCUCAAAUAAAUAAAUAAAAUCUUUAAAAAAAAAUAUGGGUUACACUUCAGAGAUGUAAAGAUUUACCUGUCUCAGUAUUUGGCUUUACCACAUCUAAUAAUAAAAUCCUUUGUGAUAUGCCCCCUUGGAGUUCUCAUUCUUUGGUAACACUUCUCAAGUCCUUGGACCUCUUCCUGGGCAUCCUCUGCACCCACUUAGUUUUGAUGGCAUCCUGCCUGUCCCUGAGGCAGCUGCUCAGUUUCCCACUUCUCUCCUUUGCUCAGAGGAGCCUCUGGCUUCUCCCAGAUGAUGACUGCCUCCUCCAGUCUCUAUUCUUCUCCUUCAUGUCAGACCACUCCUCCUCAAAAAUGUGCGCUAGCCAUGUUCUUUUUUUCUCCUUUACCACAGUCUCCUUGCCUGACUUAGUGCCAUCAUCCCGUAGUCCUGCUAGCUGGCUCACGCCCUCCCCUCACCCCAGGUCAGUAUACUCCAGACCCCCGUUUUCCACCAGCGGUUGGGCCUUCUGCAUGCCUCGGCCCACCUGUACCGGGUCGGUUUGUUCUGAUCCCCCAGUGGCCUAUGGCAAUCAUUGCCCUUCUUCCAGACCUCUCUCCCCACUGAGGGCCUUGCCUCCUGUUUCACUGAGGGUGCUGAAGUCCUCUGGCAUGAAUCCCCUCAACCUGCUGUCCUGCUAUGCACUCCCCCUUCUACUCCUUCCUUUUUUGGUAUCAGAGUAGCUGCUGCUGUCUCCAGCGGUGCUCUUGAUCCAUCUCUGAGACCAGAUAGCUGUUCUGCUGGAUGACACCUCUCUCCCUGCUAGAGUUUCAGCCUCUCUCCACUGGCUCCUUCCAAAGCAAUUUAUAAAUAUAGUCAACCCUCUUUCCUUAAAUAACAUCAUCAAUAACAACAACAUUCCUAGAAAGAAUCAUCUAGAUUCACUUUGUCAGUCCCAUCCAUUUUUUCAUUCACCAUAAUCUGGAUUUUGCUCCCACCCGGCAAAGAAGACCCUCACCUUCCUCACUGCCGAAGGCCAAGGCCUGUUUUCAGUCCCCAUCUGUCUUGCCUUCUUUUUAACAUUUGACACUGCUGACCUCUCCCUCUUCAGAAGAGUCACUCCUAUCCUAUCCUUGGUCUCUGGUGGCUUUUGUCCUUUGCCCAACUGCAAGUUCUAUCUAUGACCCCUUCCCUAGCCUUCAUUUCCCCCCCUUCCCCUCCUUUCACUCUGUACUUCCCUCCCAGGGGUUCCAUGUCCAUUUUUAUAUCGAUGAUUUACAGACUGAGGCAGUUGUUCAUCCGUCUCAAGCUCCAGACCACAAUAUCCAGGCUCUUGCUGGUGCUCACCAUGUGGCUGAAGUACCAUGGGCACUUCAAGCUCAGUGCGUGGGAAAUGAAGCUUUUUAUUCACCCCCACCUCAAACCUGCUUCUCUGCACUCCUGGUAAUGCCG